ensembl:lncRNA
CUUUAUUAACAGUGUUCUUUUCAGUAAGGAUAAAUUAAAAAUGGAAAGUAACAAAUAGUAUUUUCCUUGGUCCAAAUUUAUUUCUCAGAUCAGUUUUACUCCCACUAUGUGGCAGGGCAGUGAUGCUGCUGAUUGUCAUGAGUACCACUGAAUUCAACCACAGUGAAUGCCUUUGUAGUAGUUUGCACCUUUGAUUAUACAACUGUACCAAAAAUAUAUAUAUAUAUUUGGAAGAACUGUGUUGCUUUUAUCAAUUUAUUAACUUUCAUGAAACCUAUUGAUAGUUUUGGACAGAAAGUCCUAGAGAAAGGUGAAGGGACAUGGGUUUGUGAUUAGAAAAGGAAAACUCAGCAUCUCCCAGAAUACGAGAACAAGACAUCCCUUAGGAACAGGGAGGAUUGUUGGUUUGUUUGGCAACUUUGGGGGAGUGUUGAAUGCAGGCAUCCCCAACAGAUGUACACCGUGCCAUCUGGAAAAAGAUGAGGGUUGCUGCUCACAGGAAAUAGCAACACACGCGGCACAUAUUGAAUAUUUAAGUGUCUCAGUAGCAUGUGCCCAAGUAAGGCUUGCCUCUAGGUGCCAAGGCCUCCCUGAACACUGCAAGAGUUCAGUGCAUGGCAUCUCACUUAGUGAGACAGAUGUUAAGACUCCAAUCUGAAAGCACCUCUCUUCACUCACACAGCCCGGCACGAGGGCUGCCGCCCCUGCGAACGAGCGGUUCUCAGCUCCACGCGGCCGAGCCCCGAGCAGGGAGGAGGCAGCAGCCGGCUGGAGUGAGAGUCGGGGAGAAAAAGAGAGGAGGGUGCUCAGGCACGCGAUAUUGCCUCAUCGACUUUCGCCCGCCCCCAACUCCACGGACCAAAAAAAUCGCGUUUCCUCCUUCGGCAACGGCAGUCCUCUUGGGUUUCCUUAAUAACUCAAGCCAGAGGGGCAUUCCUCGAAAAAUAUAUAUUUUUUUUUCCCCCGAAACCGAGAUACGGCUGCGUCCGCAACCGCCGCCCCGGCGGGGGUCCCGGGGCUCUUCCCACGAACCGCUUCCGCGGGGCCGGGAGCACACCCGGCUGCCCGCCCCACCACCUGGCCCCUUCCCUCUGUCCUCCAGCCGUCAGCAUCCGAAGACGAUUCGCGGGACGUGUCCCCGGGCCCCCGCACGGCGCUGUGAGCCGCGGGGUCGUUCGGCUGCCUGCGCACGAAAGCCCCAUAUUCCCCCUGCCUGCCGGUAGCCGCUUUCCCGUAAUUUCCAUUAUCCGAAGCACAUCGCGUGUUCUCGCUGCAGCCACUCCGGGGUGAGCCACGCGCCGCUGCCCGCGGGCUGUAACACAGCAUCAGCUGCCGUGGAGUUCCCUGCUUUGAUUUGUUUGGCGUUUGGAUGCUGCGGUUGUUCACUGUUUAUUAUCCCGGGUUUGUUUUCGAGUCAGUGACACUUCGAGUCUGAAUGCUUGUUAUUUACAGUUCUGGAGAGAGGCUCAUGAGACGUCCAAAUAAGCCCCGGUUAUGGAAUUGGAAACCAUCAUUUCCGUAGGCGUACAGGUACAUAUAUGAAGCCAGCGACGAUUCGAAGCCCAGCAGGAGAAAAACAACGUGCAAAGGCACGAUGGAUAACGCAAAGGUCUAUUGUGGCUUCAUCAUCUUUCUUCAGAUCGCCGACCUACCGCGGGAGGCCGCCUACAAUUUUAGCCUCUGUCACCACGAGGAUAUACGAGACGAUCUCCUAAACGCUUUCGAUGAGCGCAUGACCUUCAGCGAGGUUGGUGGUUGCUCUGGUGGCAUCGGAGGGAAACUGUCGGCACGGCACUGCCUCCGCGAUCAUGUCCUUAUUGCUGGCAGCCACUUUCCGAAAAUGCUGAUUAGGAAGCCGGGAGCUGGCUAGUGCAGUAACCCGGAGCACAGGACGGGGAAGUUAUCUCCUCCUCUCCUCCUCCGGCGACCCUCCUAAAGUGUGCGCUGAAGCUGGGACUGGCAGGGACGGAGUGCCGGAGCUCUGCUACCAGAGCGCUCCCGACCCCCGGCAGAGCCCUAAGAUGACCCCGUCAAACCGCACCGACGCCGAAGGCGGUUUCACGGUUACAAAGGCGAUAAGUGGUCCAAAAGCUCCGCGGGCGGUUCGCUCGCACAGACAGCGCCCAGCCCGAGGCCCGGACUCCGGGCGCAAGAAGCAGCCCACCGCCGCCUCCCGCCAGGCGGAGUAUCGCCCGCUGCCCUGGCAGCCCCUCUAGGGCGCGGAGAUGACCCCCCCUCCGUCUUGUUGUCUCCCUCCAGGGGCCGUUGCUCGAUUUUCACACCUGCGAGGACGCGUCCGCGGGCCCGCAGCUGUCCGAGGUUCGCCCGGGUGAACGCGGCCCCCGACGGCUACGUGGCAUCCCCAGUCCGUGCGGAGCCGAAAGAUAAAAAUUAAGACACAGAGGGGAGGAGGAGACGGAGGGGUGGGAAGAAAGAUACAGUGCGGAGAAGGGGCAAGGAAGGGGGGAGAGGGAAAAGGAGGGAUAAAAGGGGAGCAGAAAGGAAAGAGAGGGGGGAAAACGGGGUGAGGGAGGCAGGGAGGGGAGGGGGGACAUGAGGAGAAAGAGAAGGGAGGGAUUAAAGUGGGAGAAGAAGGCAGCGGGGAAGGAAGCGAGGAGAGGGAGAGGUGGAGAAGGGGCAAAGAAG